GAAUUUAUCUGAAUAUUUGUAAAGUGCAUGACACUGAGCACAUAGGUGGAAUGAUUUAUGAAACUAGUAAUGCUUCCUUUCUUGCGAGAGUAGAAGUCAUCUAGAUCAGUGCUUAGAAAUAUAGGCUUUGGAGUCACUUACCUGGGUUUAAGUCCUGAUUGCACCAUUUGUUUGGGCUAAUUUCUAUGUCCUAAUUUUCUCAUGGUAAUAGAGAUAUCUAUUAUUUAUCUCUUGUUGUUCUUUUGAAUAUGUGCAAUGGUAUUUGUAUAGAAUUGUGCACAGUGCCUGGCACACAGUUGGUUCUUACUAAGUGGUAAUGACUGUAAUAGGAGGAAAUUAGAAGGCUUCAAGAAAACCCAAUAGUUAGUAUAGUAAUAACUCUCAUGGACUUUCCUCAGUUGUAUACUCAUUUUAUUCUAGCCUGGAGGUGUGAUUGGAUAUUUUCUGCCAGUACAAUUGACUAGCAGAGAAUUAGCUGCUCAAAAUAUGUUCAACUUUCUAAUGCAUGAUAAGAUUUAGCCUGAGUAUCUGGUUUGAUAUUCUAUUUAGGUCCUGCACAGUUCAAUAUUAAAUGGAGUUUCUACCCUAGCGUGAAAGGAGGAAGAGAGAAAAUUGGCUCCAAGAAGAAUUCGGCUCCAAAAUUCCCCGAAUGUUAGAGUGAGACCAUCUGGAAUUCAAAAUGUUACUGUAGGUAACUGACAGUUGAAUAUCGGAAGACAUAGGAAAUAGAAGGCUAAGGUGAACAUUAUUUCUAUUCCUAUACUCAGGUGGUUAUGCUGAACAUGUAAAUAUUCUCCCUGCUGUGAAGAUUAGUGCAGCUGGCCAAAGAUGCUUUAUUUUAAAUAUGUGGAUGCAGGAAGAGAAAAGCAUCAGAAACACUGCAUGGGGUAAGACUGUCCUGGCUGCCAGGGUCUUGG
rnacentral:lncRNA from 1 species